rnacentral:rRNA from 1 species
UACAGAGGGUGCGAGCGUUAUUCGGAAUUACUGGGCGUAAAGCGCACGUAGUCGGCUUUGCAAGUCGGGUGUGAAAUCCCCGGGCUCAACCUGGGAACUGCAUCCGAGACUGCAUUGCUAGAGUAUGGGAGAGGGAAGCGGAAUUUCUGGUGUAGCAGUGAAAUGCGUAGAUAUCAGAAGGAACAUCAGUGGCGAAGGCGGCUUCCUGGACCAAUACUGACGAUCAGGUGCGAAAGCGUGGGGAGCAAACAGG